GUGUGGCUGACGGGCUGGUUAAUGAAGACACCCUCAAACCAUCCUUAAGGAAGCCCUAAGCAAAAGUCCCCAGGAUCCAUUGACCAUUUCAAGAAAAAAGAUUGAAAAGCAGAGGAAUGUACCUGUGGGCCAACCUGGCUUGAAAAAGCCACCGUUGUUUCCAUGGACCUGAAAUCAGGAUUUAACUUAUGCAUUGCAAGAGGAGAAUUUUGAGGGAAAACACCUGUGUAUUAGCAAACAUGUUAACCUGAGCUAUGGGCGGAGCCAUUAUGUCAUCUUUUAGACAACUGGCUUAUUGUGCUAAUUUUGUCUUGCUGCUAGAACCUAUCCAGGGCUUGGGAACUCCCACCCCGUCACUUCUCUCUGCUCACUGGCAUCCUAUAUAAUCUAUUGUAAUCAACUGCUUAGCAGUGUCUCACUGAGUCUGAUAGGCGAAGUGAGACUCUGCCAGAACUGUGUGUAAUAAA